CAAAAAGGAGCCACUGAAUCCACAGUUCCCUGGAGAAAAUCAGCAGGAAACUCUUCAUUUAACCUUGAUCAUGGCUCUAGUGCUGGGUUCUGGUUUCCUGCGGAAGACCACGCAGCUCUUUCCCUACUUCAAUUACUACUAUCUGAAGGCGGCUGUGCCCAUACAAGCAGCAGCAAACGUGAGGCAAAUCAGCGAAGGAAGUGGACCAAAGAUCAAUGGCUUCCACGGGCUUGCCAAGAGGACGGAGGUUGCUGUCGGAGAGAAAGCCACUGCUCCAGUUGGCUUCAAUGCUGCUAGCUGAAGAAAAUUAAGGACAGUAAAGAGGAUGAUACUUCAGCUCCAGAGACUCAGGCCACUGGCAAUUACUCUAGGAAGGUUAAUGCUAUGGCGUCAAUUGUUACUUUUCACGUUAGAUAUUUCCCACGAAAUCAUAUCAUAAUUAAAAUAAGAUGCCGAUAUUCAUUGAU